ACCUAGUAGUACGGAAUAGCCAUUAGAAAUGGAGGGUAAUACUGUAUAAUCCCCGAGGGGGAAAGAUUUAUCGCUAUUAGAUGAGCCUACGUUAGAUUAGCUAGUUGGCGAGGUAAUGGCUUACCAAGGCUAUGAUCUAUAGCUGGUCUGAGAGGACGAUCAGCCACACUGGAACUGAGAUACGGUCCAGACUCCUACGGGAGGCAGCAGGGGGGAAUAUUGGACAAUGGGGGAAAGCCUGAUCCAGCUAUGCCGCGCGAGCGAAGAAGGCCUUCGGGUUGUAAAACUCUUUCAAUAGGGAAGAU
rnacentral:rRNA from 1 species